rnacentral:rRNA from 1 species
AGACACGGCCCAGACUCCUACGGGAGGCAGCAGUAGGGAAUUUUCGGCAAUGGGGGAAACCCUGACCGAGCAACGCCGCGUGAAGGAAGAAGUAAUUCGUUAUGUAAACUUCUGUCAUAGAGGAAGAACGGUGGAUAUAGGGAAUGAUAUCCAAGUGACGGUACUCUAUAAGAAAGCCACGGCUAACUACGUGCCAGCAGCCGCGGUAAUACGUAGGUGGCGAGCGUUAUCCGGAAUUAUUGGGCGUAAAGAGGGAGCAGGCGGCACUAAGGGUCUGUGGUGAAAGAUCGAAGCUUAACUUCGGUAAGCCAUGGAAACCGUAGAGCUAGAGUGUGUGAGAGGAUCGUGGAAUUCCAUGUGUAGCGGUGAAAUGCGUAGAUAUAUGGAGGAACACCAGUGGCGAAGGCGACGAUCUGGCGCAUAACUGACGCUCAGUCCCGAAAGCGUGGGGAGCAAAUAGGAUUAGAUACCCUAGUAGUCCACGCCGUAAACGAUGGAUACUAAGUGUCGGGGUCAAAGCUCAGUGCUGCAGUUAACGCAAUAAGUACUCCGCCUGAGUAGUACGUUCGCAAGAAUGAAACUCAAAGGAAUUGACGGGGGCCCGCACAAGCGGUGGAGCAUGUGGUUUAAUUCGAAGCAACGCGAAGAACCUUACCAGGUCUUGACAUCGAUCUAAAGGCUCCAGAGAUGGAGAGAUAGCUAUAGAGAAGACAGGUGGUGCAUGGUUGUCGUCAGCUCGUGUCGUGAGAUGUUGGGUUAAGUCCCGCAACGAGCGCAACCCCUGUUGCCAGUUGCCAGCAUUAAGUUGGGGACUCUGGCGAGACUGCCGGUGACAAGCCGGAGGAAGGCGGGGAUGACGUCAAAUCAUCAUGCCCCUUAUGACCUGGGCUACACACGUGCUACAAUGGACAGAGCAGAGGGAAGCGAAGCCGCGAGGUGGAGCGAAACCCAUAAAACUGUUCUCAGUUCGGACUGCAGUCUGCAACUCGACUGCACGAAGAUGGAAUCGCUAGUAAUCGCGAAUCAGAAUGUCGCGGUGAAUACGUUCUCGGGCCUUGUACACACCGCCCGUCACACCAUGAGAGUCGGUAACACCCGAAGCCGGUGGCCUAACCGCAAGGAAGGAGCUGUCUAAGGUGGGACUGAUGAUUGGGGUGAAGUCGUAACAAGGUAUCCCUACGGGAACGUGGGGAUG